rnacentral:lncRNA from 1 species
GGGGCAGGCUAGGGAUUUCACCCCAUGAACACUAAUAUCCGAUUAUACGGAACCAUUAAGGAGAAUAGCAGAUUGAACGAUGGAAUGUAAAAUUGUAGCCUGUAAAUGAAUCGUCUGGCAUUUAAGCAAAUGGUGCCGAUUUGUGUUCAGUUUUACCAGAUUAUUCAAUCGGUACAGAGUCAUCAAGAACAGGAAAUAUGUACGUAAUUGAGGACAGAUUGAUAAUGAUGGAGUUCGUUAUCGUCCAAAAGCAUGCUUUCAUCUUGUUCGUCUCUGAUUCCUACAGGAAAGAGAUCCAAGAGUGAAAUUUAGUGAUCGGUUGGUUCAGGCGAUGAUGUGUAUAAGUUUGUUGUCCUUUCUCUUCUUUACAAAACACACACGAACCCUAUGUAGAGAGAGAGACCGAGUGAAAAGGGGAUCCAGCCAACAGUUUUCCGACAAACCCCUACGGUUCUAACUAUAGCGGUGAUGAAGAACCAGGCUGUGACGACGAUUUGCGGUUUAAUUACCGGCAACCAGCUUCAUAUCUACCUAUUGUUGUUUGGUUUGUCGACCACUACGUCACAGGAACUAAUGGAAACAAAACGAUGUUGAUUUAGCAAGAACCAAGAGGUUCAACAAGCUUUUUUUCCGGGCUGGGGUUGGUUGUCGCGGGGGCGGUGGCGGUGGCCGACGACCGGAAUAUUAUCAAUUUUUGCUAACGAACUAUUACAGGGAUGGAGGUAAUUCUUGUUUUAGUUGAUUUGAUUUUAUCGUUUAGGGUUUCAAUUCGUAGUGUGAUAAUAUGUAGUUGUAUGUGUUAAUUGUUUUUUGUUGCAAGAAAAUGUUUUUGUUUUUAUUGUUUCUGAGUUUGAAUUUGCUUAAAUUUAGCGUUUACCUUGCUUGGUUUAUAUUUUUUAUGUUUUAUUAUAGCACAUGUGGCUUCACUUUUUUACUUUUGAGAGUUACGGUCUUUAUGAAGUUGAACAAGGUGGCAAGGUAUACCUAUUUGAUAGCUUUGUUGGUACAGUUAUAAUUUUGCUGAUUAACAGUGAUUACGUAGCUGAUCAAGGUGACACAAUUUAUUUAAUAUGAUAGUUAAUUAACAUAUAAGUGCUCUUUAUAUGUUAAGCAAUUAAGAGCUCAACUUGCUUCAUGGUUUUACGCAAUCAUUGGCAUAGAGGAAGAUGGAAUAUUUGUAUCUGAUGGUGUACAGUUUCACAUAUCCUGCCUCCAGAGUUUUUCUAUUUGAAUCAUUCGUGCUGUCAACGUUUCUUGUUCCAGUUAUCCAAAUAUGAUAUGGUCACCGUAAAAAGACAGUAAAAACUUUUGCAUAUGACCUCUACUUUAUCUUAAUUUUUGUGCCAGGUCUUAUUUGGGUCUAAAGUUACAAUGGCGGCGCAAGAUCCAUCAUGACUCUUAUAUGGUAACUUUUCCGUUAAUUGUAUUGGUUGUACGGGCUUCCAUGUUGCGUCAACUAUUGCUCAAGCCGGUCCUCUAGGGUUCCGGUUGAGACUUCCAGAGGUGUAAUCGGUGUUUAAAGGGACCGAUUGAAGCUGAAGGUUUUGUCAUCAACAAGUAGAUCAAGGAUCUUUUAUACAGGUACAGGCAUGUUAUGGGAUGAAGGACUUUUCUGGUACAAGCAUUUUCUUAUGAAGAGGAUGCUUUUCUCACUAGCAAUAUAAAUACUAUUUUCCAUGAGUCUUAUACUGCACAGCAUACUCUCGCUUUCAUCACCUGUACGGCGUCACUUCAGGAUCCUUGCAAAAGACAAAGAACGGGUUCAUGUUCUUGCAGCCAUAAACAGGCCAUAUGAUCUUGAUGAGGCUGCGACUAGAACGCUUCCCCAUUGGUAACCAAGACAUCCUGGCUUCAGAGAAUCGCAACUACGAUUGGAUAAAAAGUCAACAACUAUGAAGUCAUCAAGUAAUGGUUGUGUAUUCUUGAGGACGCUUAGGUGCUCCGGAUGUUGGUUGUACGUCUGCAAGUCAUCCGUUGACCUGAAACGACAGUGGAUUAUGUGACUGAAGUUUGGUGAAGUGGAGGUAGACUGGAGGAUUUUUCCUACACUGAGAUGGAGUUUGAAGUUGAGUGAAAUCAAUCCGUUGACUUCAUUUAUCAUGUUCUCGACUUUGGUAUAGUCAAUGUCGGGUUUGACGCUGAGGAGGACGAUGUGUUCAACAAUUUGUUGGUGUGCAGACAUUCUGGUAACUGCAAUUAGAUGAUGAGUGUGUCUGAAUAGUAAAUAUUGAUCAUGUUAUGUUCACUAUUUAUUUCCAUGUAAAGUAUAAAAUUAGGAUGGCUGUUGGAUUUUUUUUUAUUGGGACAGUUCACCUAAUGUUUAAAUAAUUAAAUUUUUAUUUACUUAACAAACAAAUAGUCAAAUACACAUAUU